GGUUGGUUAGUUGGCGAGUGGGUGGUUCAGGAUGGUUUAAAGGAUUGUUGAUCAGUACGAUAGUGAUGUUUGCUGCUUGUAAUGAAACGGUUAUUGGUGGUUAUAAAGGUUAGAUGGUUACUUCAGAACUAGUUUGCUGCUUCCUUAGACUAGAGCCUAGUUAUAAUUCAUUUGUUGGAUGAUUAGUUAUUAAAUGAUUUAGACAGUUUAAGUUCUGUGGGUAAAUAGUGGGUUGUUAGUUAGACGGAUGGACACUGGGCUGGUUGACGGGUCACGUGGUUAUAUUGAGAUGAUUAGAUAGUUAUACGGUUAGAGUACGGGGUUAUCUCGGGUAGCCGGUUUGUUGAUGAGAUGUUUCUGGUUAGAUAACUAUGGUGUAAGUUAGUGGGUUAGACAGGGGGGUGUUUUGUUGUUGGACAGGGGUAGAAACGGAUGGUUAGACGGUUGGAAAUCUGGUUGUUACGUUUAACCGCGGUUAGUAACUAGGUGGAAGGUUAUUAGCUUCAGACAGUUAGAUGAUUACACAGGAGUUCUGGUCUUCGUUCUCAUUAGUAACUACUAAUCCGUCUGCUACAGCGGCGUAACGUCAGCGCAGGCGUUCAGGUUUCGGUACUAACGCAGAACGCUCCGCCUCACUUCACCACAAACACGCAGCGACGCAGAUCCGCAGCCCUGCUGCUACGGCCUGGAGGAGCAGAACGCGAGCCGGCGACGGUGUUCUCGGACCGCCCGGCGUUGCGGAUGGGCUUCAGCGAGGCUGUAGCAGGGUGUUCUUCAGAGUAUUAGUCACCCCACACCCCACCCCCCACCCCCGGAGUUCUCGUUAGCACACUUUGAAUACUGACCACGGAUUUCUUUCGGUUUCGGACCUUUCUUGCACUCGACGGAGAAUCUGAGAGCUGUCAGAUACGCCAGGAAAAAUACUGUAUUUAAUAAUGUGCAUAAUAGGCUUUAUUAUAAUCAGACGUUGUAUUAUAAGUUUAUUUAAUUUGAUAGGCUAAUAAAAUAUUUC
ensembl:lncRNA